rnacentral:piRNA from 1 species
UAAGUGCAAAGGAUGGAAAUCUUGUUCCUC